rnacentral:rRNA from 1 species
AACGAACGCUGGCGGCAUGCCUAACACAUGCAAGUCGAACGGGAUCCUAGCUUGCUAGGUGAGAGUGGCGGACGGGUGAGUAACACGUGGGAAUCUGCCUUUUGGUUCGGGAUAACCGCGGGAAACUGCGGCUAAUACCGAAUGCCCUCGAGAGAGGAAAGAUUUAUCGCCAGAAGAGGAGCCCGCGUCCGAUUAGGUAGUUGGUGGGGUAAAGGCCUACCAAGCCGACGAUCGGUAGCUGGUCUGAGAGGAUGAUCAGCCACACUGGGACUGAGAUACGGCCCAGACUCCUACGGGAGGCAGCAGUGGGGAAUAUUGGACAAUGGGGGCGAACCCUGAUCCAGCAAUGCCGCGUGAGUGAUGAAGGCCUUAGGGUUGUAAAGCUCUUUUACCCGGGAUGAUAAUGACAGUACCGGGAGAAUAAGCUCCGGCUAACUCCGUAGCCAGCAGCCGCGGUAAU